rnacentral:lncRNA from 1 species
ACAAGUAUGAAGAGAAUGUCGGGAGAGGAAGUGGUGGCUAUGAGUCAGCAUGAGUCAUCUCGUUCCAAUGAGAAUGAAGGCUGAGGUGUGCGCCUUUUUUUUUUUUCCUUCUUAGUCGUGUGUACAUCAUUGGGAAUGGAGGGAAAUAAAUGACUGGAUGGUCGCUGCUUUUUAAGUUUCAAAUUGACAUUCCAGACAAGCGGUGCCUGAGCCCGUGCCUGUCUUCAGAUCUUCACAGCACAGUUCCUGGGAAGGUGGAGCCACCAGCCUCUCCCUGACAAGCAAAGUGGAUCAGCAAAGGCUGCAGUCACCAGCAUCUUUUCCAACCUUAAUGAACUGUAUCCUCAAAAGAACACUAUCAGACUGGCUCUGCCGACUUCCAGUUCUGGAACAAGAUGGUUAAACUCAUUUUUCCCUGCUCUGCUCCUCUAAAUACAACUAAGUACCUUGGAAACUAUUCAGCAGACAAUGAUAAAGGGCUCUGAAAGCUAGAAGAAAAGGUGUACUUGCAAGAAACCUCAGGACUUGAGUAACAGCAACAUGGCAGGCCAGAAAGCAGACCCAGGGAGGAUAGCACAUGUCUUCGGCUACACUGGUGAAGGCAUCGUGCCUGCUCCACAGCACAUUUUUAUUCAAGUCUUGGACGAGCCUGAGGAUGUCUACAAGUGGAAGAAAAGAAGCCACUGGAGCAGAAGGUGGGGAGGAUAAAAUUUGGAGCAAGAUUCUCAAGGAAGCAACAAGAUCCUAAGGAAAGGAGAAAGAGACUACCUACUGCAUUUCUGUCACUCGCUGAAAAGGACACUCUGUCAGAAAAUCUUCUAGCAAACUUCAAAGGGCAAAAUCACCCCUUGUUACUGAUAAAGCCCAGAGAGCUUCAGCAGCUAACAUUCCCUGGACAGGGCACAGCAAGGAUUUGAACCUAGGUCAGUCUGGCCAGAACACCCACAAGCUUUCCUUAACUCAGUGUGCUAUCUCCCCACGACUAGGUCACUACUGCUUUAUAAUCACCUUUGUAGCCACCAGUGGAUUUUGCUCAUCAGUAUUUUUCAGGCAAUUGAUACUUUAGAUAUUCAGCUGCAAGACGUAUGCAGUUUUCAUUGACAUCUUUUGGAGAAACUGACAAACCUGGACUUGACUUAAUGCCUUUGGAACCUUCCAAGAUGUUAUAUAACUCUAGAUAGAAGGCUGGGCCUCCAUGAUGUCAGGAAUGUUGCAUUCUUAUUUCCCCAUAGAUAAACCCAUUUGUCCACAAAGUCAAGGAGUCAGGCAGAGGCCCUUGCCAUGGGGCUUUUUAGGAUAAAGCAACAAGCCUGGACUUUGCUCUACAACAGGGUUUUGCAUAGGGAGUGGUAUGACCAGAUCCCUCAAGAAAGAAAGCUUAGAGACCAGGCCAGAGUCCACUGCAGUAGCCCAGUCAAGAGAGGAUGGUGACUUGGACUUGUAGUAGAGCCAGUUAGAAUGAAAGAAAUUGACACAUUCAGAAAUGGUUUUAGAGAUAGAGUCAAACUGGACCUGAUAAAGAACUAGAGAAGCGGAGUGAGGAUAAAGAGAAGAGCCAUGACUGACUCGGAAGAUUUUGUCUUGAAAAACUUGAGAACUCAAGACAGAGUGAAAUAAAAUCACAUGUGGGAAAAAUCU